rnacentral:rRNA from 1 species
GAUGAACGCUAGCGGCAGGCUUAACACAUGCAAGUCGAGGGGCAGCAUAAUGGAUAGCAAUAUCUAUGGUGGCGACCGGCGCACGGGUGCGUAACGCGUAUGCAACCUACCUUUAACAGGGGGAUAACACUGAGAAAUUGGUACUAAUACCCCAUAAUAUCAUAGAAGGCAUCUUUUAUGGUUGAAAAUUCCGAUGGUUAGAGAUGGGCAUGCGUUGUAUUAGCUAGUUGGUGAGGUAACGGCUCACCAAGGCGACGAUACAUAGGGGGACUGAGAGGUUAACCCCCCACACUGGUACUGAGACACGGACCAGACUCCUACGGGAGGCAGCAGUGAGGAAUAUUGGUCAAUGGGCGAGAGCCUGAACCAGCCAAGUAGCGUGCAGGAUGACGGCCCUAUGGGUUGUAAACUGCUUUUAUAAGGGAAUAAAGUGGGAGUCGUGACUCUUUUGCAUGUACCUUAUGAAUAAGGACCGG